rnacentral:lncRNA from 1 species
AAUCAUUAAAGCUGAAACAAGCACACUUCCAACAGAUGUCAAGAAAAUCACAACCACAGUUGAAAGAAUAAGCAGACCCAGCGUCUCCCUCUCAGAAAACUGCCGUCCAUAUAUAACCAAAGGCGGAUCCGAAGGCCGGAAAAGGUAAAGGAAAAGCCAAGCGGCGAGGAGGCCGGAAAGGACAAGAAGGGAAAAAGGGUUUGUAAUGAGUGAAAAUGCAAGAACAACGGCAAGGGCAGAGAGGUAAUUGAUACGGAAGUAGGUGUAGUUUUUGCGCAUACGGAGAGUGGCGUCAGAGAACGAUUCCGGUUUGGAGAAAGCGGACCGGUCGAGGAGCUCGGACCAGGGACGGCGGUUGGAGAAACCGGUUUGGACGGUGGUGGAGAUGUGGUUGAUGAAUGAACGGAAUGCUG